rnacentral:rRNA from 1 species
GGGCUCGUAGGAGAUCUANGUGUCGGCGAGCGAUCGUCGGUGCCGGCGCUAAGCAAUAAGUAUUCCGCCUGGGGAGUACGGUCGCAAGACUAAAACUCAAAGGAAUUGACGGGGACCCGCACAAGCAGCGGAGCAUGUUGUUUAAUUCGACGCAACGCGAAAAACCUUACCAAAUCUUGACAUCCCUGUGACCGCUCAUAUAAAGUGAGUUUUCUCUUCGGAGACAUAGGAGACAGGUGGUGCAUGGUUGUCGUCAGCUCGUGUCGUGAGAUGUUGGGUUAAGUCCCGCAACGAGCGCAACCCCUAUCUUUAGUUGCCAUCGGGUCAUGCCGGGCACUCUAGAGAGACUGCCGGAGACAAUCCGGAGGAAGGUGGGGAUGAUGUCAAAUCAUCAUGCCCUUUAUGAUUUGGGCUACAAACGUGCUACAAUGGUCGGUACAACGGGUCGCUAACCGGUAACGGGGCGCUAAUCCAAAAAGCCGAUCUCAGUUCGGAUUGAGGGCUGCAACUCGCCCUCAUGAAGUUGGAGUUGCUAGUAAUCGCGAAUCAGCAUGUCGCGGUGAAUGCGUUCCCGGGUCUUGUACACACCGCCCGUCACACCAUGGAAGUUGGGGGCGCCCGAAGCCUGUGAUCCAACCAGUAAUGGAGGAAGCAGUCGAAGGUGAAAUCAAUGACUGGGGUGAAGUCGUAACA